rnacentral:rRNA from 1 species
CGCGGCCUAUCAGCUUGUUGGUGAGGUAACGGCUCACCAAGGCAUCGACGGGUAGCUGGUCUGAGAGGACGAUCAGCCACACUGGGACUGAGACACGGCCCAGACUCCUACGGGAGGCAGCAGUAGGGAAUCUUGCGCAAUGGGCGAAAGCCUGACGCAGCAACGCCGCGUGGGGGAUGAAUGCCUUCGGGUUGUAAACCCCUUUCAGCAGGGACGAAAAUGACGGUACCUGCAGAAGAAGCUCCGGCCAACUACGUGCCAGCAGCCGCGGUAAUACGUAGGGAGCGAGCGUUGUCCGGAAUUACUGGGCGUAAAGAGCUCGUAGGCGGUUCAGUAAGUCGGGUGUGAAAACUCAAGGCUCAACCUUGAGACGCCACUCGAUACUGCUGUGACUUGAGUCCGGUAGAGGAGUGUGGAAUUCCUGGUGUAGCGGUGAAAUGCGCAGAUAUCAGGAGGAACACCAGCGGCGAAGGCGGCACUCUGGGCCGGUACUGACGCUGAGGAGCGAAAGCAUGGGGAGCAAACAGGAUUAGAUACCCUGGUAGUCCAUGCCGUAAACGUUGGGCACUAGGUAUGGGAUCAUAUCAACGGAUUCCGUGCCGUAGCUAACGCAUUAAGUGCCCCGCCUGGGGAGUACGG